GAUGAACGCUAGCGGCAGGCCUAACACAUGCAAGUCGAGGGAGGAGCCUUCGGGCUUCGACCGGCGUACGGGUGCGUAACGCGUAUACAAUCUGCCUUUCACAUAGGGAUAGCCCGAAGAAAUUUGGAUUAAUACCUAAUGGUAUAUAGAUGUGGCAUCACCUUUAUAUUAAAGCUGAGGCGGUGAAAGAUGAGUAUGCGUUCUAUUAGCUAGUUGGAGAGGUAACGGCUCCCCAAGGCGACGAUAGAUAGGGGUUCUGAGAGGGAUAUCCCCCACACUGGUACUGAGAUACGGACCAGACUCCUACGGGAGGAAGCAGUGAGGAAUAUUGGACAAUGGUCGGAAGACUGAUCCAGCCAUGCCGCGUGCAGGAAGACGGCCUUAUGGGUUGUAAACUGCUUUUGCAGGGGAAGAAUAAGGACUACGCGUAGUUUGAUGACGGUACUCUGCGAAUAAGCAUCGGCUAACUCCGUG
rnacentral:rRNA from 1 species